CUCUCUCUCUUGGUGGUACGAAAUACGCGUGAAAAAUGGCUUUUUUUAAAAGCGAUGAUGAAUCAAGGAUGUCAGUUUCAUCGGAGUGGUCAAUGAGGGCCCACUCCCCACUCCGCCUCCGGUCAAGGAGUAGCUCGAGAGGCCCCCGACAGACAGAGGCCCUAUGGCGCCAGCCUACAAAUGCAAUAAGACGAAAAAAAUGUAGGGGUAAGUAAAUAUUCACAAGUUAUAUGUAAUGUUUGAUAUUUUGUGACACAUUUCUUAAGAGGGGCUUUCUGCAGGAUUCGACUCUCAAGAUAAAAAAAAUCCGAUUCUCUGACAAAUUGAAGGCCCUGGUUAGCUUGUUUAAAAAAUAUAAAUUUGAUUUUAUUCGGAUUUUUAUUUAUUUAUUUUUUUGAAUUUUUUCGUAUUUUCCCCCUCUGGGCCCGAAACCCAACGCUAAAAUUGAAUGGUUUACGGAACGUCUUUUUUUAGCAUAAUGAAUGCGUUGAUAGAAAUGUUGACUAAGAGCACUACCUAACCUAUUCAAGUGUUUAUUAGUGGUGUUCAAUUUAUUUGUAAUCUAAUCUUGAUUUUUUUUUUUUCCAUUUUUACGUUUCACAAGUUUAUUCUUAAAGAGAACGUGACACGAAAUUCUCUUUUGACAAAUUGACAAGUUAGUAUAGUAGCGUUAUAUCCCAAAAAUAAUUCCUCCAAUUUUCGAUACUUGAUUUAAACGGAAACCUGAUUUUUUAACUUUUAAAAAUAAGCAAUUUUGGCCAAUUUUCGCAUGAAACCGGCGACAUCCGAAUAUCUAAUUUGCAUAUUACUUGUGACGUCAAGAGUUGUACAAAUGGGUGAUAAACAUGAGACAUUUCCAUACAAAAUAGGACGCCCCCCACCCAAAAUACACACAUAAUUGAUCGUGGGGCCCGAAUCUUUCCCAGAAAAUACUGAGUGUAACCUGAGCAAAGUACCCAAAAGGAAUCCUGCAGCAAUUGGAGCAGUGAUUUUUUAAAAGCUUUUUAACACAAUUUGCGUGCGAAUCACCCAACAUUUCGGCAAAAGUCACUCGAUCACAAUUGUGAUCAAAGCAAUAAGAUAUACCCUGUAAAUAAUUGCGACACGAUAUUACAAGGCAAAAAGUAACACAUCUAUAUUUCUGCAAAGCAGAAUGCAUAUUUUGAAAGCGUCUAUGCUUUCAAAUAAUACAGAGAAAAACAUGUUUAUAUUUUUUUAUGUCCAAUUUAUUGCGAUUUCUCACAAGAACAAAACAUGCUCUAAGUAAAGCAUUUUUACCCACUAAAUAAUGAAACCUAUAGAUUACAAGGGAAGCAAGCUAUAAAUCAUCUACACAAACAGAUAAAAAAACGUAAAUAUAUCAAACUCAAGGAGAAACGACUGGAAAUCUAGAAUCUAAAAAGUAGGUUGAGAUGCGAGGACAAAAACUCAUCAAUGAAUGAACGGCAAAAAAAAAAUCGCUUGUAUUCAAUUCUCUUUUAAUAAACGAACAAACAAAUGCAGUAUAUGGUACUAGCAUUAUAAUCCCUGAAUAGUUCGAAUGUUUUUUAAAGAAAAACUGCCACCAAGACUUGGUAUAUGUGAAACGAAGUGAAUGCACAACAACCGCACAAAUGUACAUUUACUAGCAAAACAAAGCGAUAAGAAAACACUCAAGAAAACUUGCACCCUUCACCGUGCUUUUCUUGGCUCUAGAACAAAUUCAAAUUUUAUGUUAACCCUUCCUCCCUCCCGAUUGUAAUGACUGAUAAUUGUCGAUAAUUCGACUGUUCGUUUUGUAGAGAAAUAUCAUUCCUUGAAUGAUUGAAUCAAAUCCUGUUGUCAGUCGGCGCGGUAAAACAAACUAUUUCGCUUUUCCGGUUUGGCAAUCUGUUGUACUUUGAGGCUCAACAAUAUAUCAGAUUAUUACAAAUGCAUGUGGUUCUUUCAACAUUUUCCACCCCGUGGUGCUGUUUUAAGGUGAACUGGUAUUUUUGCGGGUUUAUUAACUUUAGUGAAGUUGUUCGCCCCGUCUUCGUUUUAUGGAUGUUCGCAUUCGCACGUGGAAUAAAUCGUAUAUCUACAACUCAGUUUGCGAAUAAAAAUGCAUUGAAAUGAAGUCCAAUGAAAUAGAACAUAUUCUAAUAAUCAAACCAUUCAUCCUUACCGGUAAAAAUGAAGCGUAAUGAU